GUGUGGCUGAGAUGGAUGCAUCAAAGCUGAUACUCCCGGAGUAAUUCUGAUAACAGCUUCAAGGGAAAAAAGCGAACCGGAGAACUAACUGGAGUAUCUCUACAUCAAUCACGCACAGCAUGAUGAAAAAUGACCAGUCCCGGGAACAUAAAAGCAGCGUGGGAUGUGACCCGCUGGCUCUGGCACUGCUGAAUUACUUGACUCUCUGCAUGGUAAAGAAUACUCACACCUCUUUAGAACAUCUUGUGAGUUUCGGCUUUGCUGUAUCAGGAUGUACCUAGGACACGAAUAAUCACCGGCGGUGCCACCAUCCACAGGUGAGGUGAGCAAUCAGUCCAUCAGCUGGUUUACAGAAACAAGCACAUCUGUAUUUUCCUCCGGCAUCUGCACU